rnacentral:rRNA from 1 species
UACGUAGGGCGCGAGCGUUGUCCGGAAUCAUUGGGCGUAAAGAGCUCGUAGGCGGCCUGUCGCGUCUGCUGUGAAAUCCCGGGGCUUAACCCCGGGCGUGCAGUGGAUACGGGCUGGCUGGAGGCAGGCAGGGGAGAACGGAAUUCCCGGUGUAGCGGUGAAAUGCGUAGAUAUGCGGAGGAACACCGAUGGCGAAGGCAGCUCGCUGGGACGGUACUGACGCUGAGACGCGAAAGCGUGGGGAGCAAACAGGG